rnacentral:rRNA from 1 species
AGAGUUUGAUCAUGGCUCAGAAUCAACGCUGGCGGCGUGCCUAACACAUGCAAGUCGAACGCGAAAGUCCCGCAAGGGAUCGGUAGAGUGGCAAACGGGUGAGUAACACGUGGGUGACCUGCCUUCGAGUGGGGGAUAACGUCCCGAAAGGGACGCUAAUACCGCAUGACAUCCUGCCUUUGAAGAGGUGGAGAUCAAAGCUGGGGAUCGCAAGACCUAGCGCUUGAAGAGGGGCCCGCGUCUGAUUAGCUAGUUGGUGAGGUAACGGCUCACCAAGGCUACGAUCAGUAUCCGGCCUGAGAGGGCGGACGGACACACUGGGACUGAGACACGGCCCAGACUCCUACGGGAGGCAGCAGUGGGGAAUUGUUCGCAAUGGGCGCAAGCCUGACGACGCAACGCCGCGUGGAGGAUGAAGACCUUCGGGUCGUAAACUCCUUUCGAUCGAGACAAACGGCUUCCGGGCGAAUAUCCCGGGAGAUUGACGGUACCGAGAGAAGAAGCCCCGGCUAACUCCGUGCCAGCAGCCGCGGUAAUACGGGGGGGGCAAGCGUUGUUCGGAAUUACUGGGCGUAAAGGGCUCGUAGGCGGCCAACUAAGUCAGACGUGAAAUCCCUCGGCUUAACCGGGGAACUGCGUCUGAUACUGGAUGGCUUGAGGUUGGGAGAGGGAUGCGGAAUUCCAGGUGUAGCGGUGAAAUGCGUAGAUAUCUGGAGGAACACCGGUGGCGAAGGCGGCAUCCUGGACCAAAUCUGACGCUGAGGAGCGAAAGCCAGGGGAGCAAACGGGAUUAGAUACCCCAGUAGUCC